CUUUUGCAAUACCAGCCCAUGUUCAAGGCAUUAGACAAGCCAGUAUUAACAUCCGGAUCUGUGCACAGCUGAAUCAUCAGUCUUUAUGCAGAAUUGAAGGAGAAGCACGGAAGUCCUGAGCAACACGUGCGCUCCCCACUACCUGAAAAGAGGCUUUGAGGAGUAUCGCCAGAUACUUUAUCAGAUGUAGAAGACUCAAGUGACGAGGCGGCCCCCUCUCAGUGCCAGGACAAAGUAGCUGCGCAUAUCGAUUUCAAAAUCAAGACGACAAAGGAUGAUUCUUUUGAUGUGCUGUCUUGGUGGAAGGAGCAUGCAGCUUUAUUCCCCAACUUGGCUCAGAUCGCAAGAUCUGUCAUAGCCAUCGCAGCAUCAAGCACCGCAAGUGAGAGAGACUUCUCCUGUGCUGGAUUUGUAAUUCAGGAGCGGAGGAGUCCACUUAAACUAUCAACAGUUGAUGACAUUCUGUUCUUACAUAGUAACCUUAUGCACCUUGUGUAAUUUCUCUCUCUCGCUCGCUCACUCGCUCUCCCUCGACACUGCUGCCAAGCCUACAUAUUUUUCGUUAGCCUAAUAAAGUUUAAGGUUAUUAUUGGUUAUGACAGUAAAAGCAUUUGGCUAUGUUUUUUAAUUUAUGCCUUUUAGACCUCUAAGCAUAUAGCAUUACCCAGUGAUGUGAUUUAUGCACAAUUUGUUCACUUGAUUUUUAAUUUUAUAUAGUUUACACAGGACAGAUGAUGCUCUCUCUCUCUCUUUCUUCUUCUUUGUUGUUAACAUGACGGGCUGCGUGUCUAUUAAUUGUUCUUGCAUGAACUCAUAAUGCGUAAUGUUUAUUGCUUACGUUACAUGAAAAAAAAAAAAAAGGUUUUUAAUGCGGGUCGGGUCGCGGUUUUCAUGUCAAGCGAGUCGGGUCGGGUACGGAAUUAAAUUAGUGUUUCUGUCGGAUAUCGGGUCGGGUGUAUUGUUAAUAAAGCGGGUG